ensembl:lncRNA
GGCAGAAGCGGGCUCUGAAGCUGAUUCAAGGAUAGGAGCUGUCACUGAAGUAGAUUUAUUGUUUGAAGUGGAUUUGAAGACUGGAGUAGGCUCUAGAAUGGUUUUAAUGAAUGGAACACACUCAAGGACUGGAGUAGACUCAGAAGUGGAUUUAAGGGUACAUAACACAGUUUUGUGAUUUAUCUUUUAGGGUACCUUUUGAUGAGGUCGUACUAAAAGACAUUUUUCAUUCGGACUAAAUGAGCCCAUAAGGUCACCGUUACCCGAGGGGCGGUUUAAACCUCUGGAGUCUAAGGGUAUUUUUGGGGCCUGGAGAAGUUUUGUCAUGCCCUGACAUUUGUGCUUUUUUCAGUUUCUUAUAAAUAUCUAAAUAGCUAAAGUCUAAUCUCAUUGUAAUCAGCACACACUGGGCUAUAAUAAUAUGUGAGCAGCAUGUAUGUACAUGAU